rnacentral:misc_RNA from 1 species
CCAAACAACGCCCGAAGCGACCAUCGUAAACCUUCUAAACGACAGAAAUGUUUAGAAAGAUGUAACGAGAUAUAAAUAAAGGAAGAAAAUACUUGAUUUAAAUAUAAAUAAAUAGAAAAUUAAAUAAAACUACUGUUGAAAGAAAAAUUAUGAAAAAGAGGCGAGGAUGUUGCGCCUUACUCCAUCUCCGAGAAGAUAACGCCCGUUUCAUUCUCUUAUUUAUUCUCAUGAUUUUCUAUACGCUCUGUGGAGCAGGAUUGUUUAUGUUACUCGAACGCGAUAACGAGAUUAAAGAAGGGAAUAAAUAUUAUCGAAGGUAUGAAAAGUUUCUAGAGGAUAAUCAUGAAGUUAAUAAGACGGAGUUGGAUAUUUUACUUCGGUUGCACGCUGAAGCGGAUAGGACCGGGGUUUUGAAUGAUAAGCGGCCUAGAUGGGAUUUUGCGGGUGCUUUCUAUUUUGUCGGAACAGUUGUUUCAACAAUAGGCUUUGGCAUGACGACCCCUAGAACGACACCUGGGAAAGUUCUCCUCAUUUUUUACGGAAUUAUUGGCUGCUCAGGAGCUAUUUUAUUCUUUAAUCUGUUCCUUGAACGAAUUAUCACAUUUUUAGCUUAUAUCCUCCGAGCCAUCCAUGAUAUGGAAUUACGAAGAAAGGGUCUUUGGUCUGAAAGACGAAGAGGUUCUCAAGUUUCCGACGAUGAUUCGCUAGAUUCUUGGAAACCGUCUGUGUAUUGGGUUCAACUGAUUUUGUUACUAUCUGCCUGUACAGUAGCUUGUUGUGCUUCGGCCAUGUAUUAUCCCGUUGAAGAAUGGAGCUACUUUGAAUCAAUUUACUUUUGUUUUGUCGCUUUUGCUACAAUUGGUUUCGGCGACUAUGUCGUCUCGCAAAAAGCAACUUAUCAGCGCGUCCAUUUGUACAGAUUUGGUAAUUUCGUAUUUCUAGUAAUUGGAUGUUGCUGUGUUUAUUCUCUAGUCAACGUGACGUCAAUAGUGAUAAAGCAAGUGCUCAACUGGAUUAUCAAAAGGCUCGACUGUGCCGAUUGUACGUGCUGGUUAAAGCGGCAGAAUAAAGCCAGGGGUAGGAGGAACGCCAUAACGCCAGGCGCCGCUAAAAACAGGCAUAGAGACUUGGAAGUAGAUUCAAAUUAUGAUUCCGAGCUUGGAUCCAGAAGGGGAAGCAAUGAAAUGAUAUCAAUGAAAGAUUUCUUGCAAGCCAACAAAAUAUCAUUAGCCAUGAUGCAGAAGCAGUUAGCAGAAACUGCAAAUCGACACCAUCACAGGGAAUCCAACGGUUUACAGGGAGGUGUUGGUCCACUGGCUAUUCUCAAUAAGAAACUAGGUCAAGAGGACGCUUAGAAUAAGUUCUCUACGCCAAAUCGUAUCAAUUACACAAACGUUUUACGCCGGAUAUCGUUAAUUGAGAGUCAACAAAACUUUUCAAUGUACUUGUUAGCCAACAGUUGGCUAUUCCACGAAAAACAAUACUCUUCUUAAGUAGAUUUCUUAAUGUUAGAAAAAAACAACAACUUUAUUAAUUUAUUUCUCAUUUUACUACGCAGUCGCUUUCUUCUUGGAAACGCUAAACGAUUAACGGGACGCUACUGAUAGAGAGAUCUAGAAUGAGUGAGAGACGGCGUUGCUCUAAUUUAUCCUCUCUAUCAACUGUAAAUGUGAAAAUGGCUCCAAUUCUUCGCGGGAAAUUGAACCCAAUAAAUGAGGUCAUAUUGAUAUCUGUUAGCUUGACAUUCAAGCAAAACAGCAGAGGUGGAAAACACUGUAAACACAAACAUCUCAACCUGUUAGUCAAACUCUCGAUAAUAUAUAACAUUUAAUCGGAUAAAUACACCUCCCGCAAAGCUCGUCAGAAAGAGAAGGGGAGAAGAGAAAGAAACAUAAAAAAUGGUUAAACGAUGGAAUAAAAAGACGAAAUAAGACAAAGGCCUAAAAUUGGGAAUUUUCCAUUCUCUUUUGUUUGUAAAUAGAAGAAUAUUGAUAAAAAAGUGCCCAAGAAUGAAAUAGAUGGAAAAUUUAAGAUCAAUUGAUCUAUUCAUUUUAACUAUCUUUGUCCUCUUUUAAUAGCGAAAUCAAGUAGUUUUAGAAGUGGAGCGGAAAUAAUUUCUAAUCGGUUAUCAAUUAAACGUUGGUGUUUUCAUUGUCAGCUCGAUUGAAUCAUAAUCAUUAUAAUAAUCUAAAGUACUUAACAAAUUAUCUUAAACAUUCUGC